rnacentral:rRNA from 1 species
GAUCAGGCUGGACACCUCCUUAGAGUUUGAUCAUGGCUCAGGGUGCGAGCAGCUCCUUAGAGGUUGAACCUGCCCUUAGCUCUGGGAUAAGCCUGGGAAACUGGGUCUAAUACCGGAUAGGAGCGUCCACCGCAUGGUGGGUGUUGGAAAGAUUUAUCGGUUUUGGAUGGACUCGCGGCCUAUCAGCUUGUUGGUGAGGUAAUGGCUCACCAAGGCGACGACGGGUAGCCGGCCUGAGAGGGUGACCGGCCACACUGGGACUGAGACACGGCCCAGACUCCUACGGGAGGCAGCAGUGGGGAAUAUUGCACAAUGGGCGAAAGCCUGAUGCAGCGACGCCGCGUGAGGGAUGACGGCCUUCGGGUUGUAAACCUCUUUCAGUAGGGAAGAAGCGAAAGUGACGGUACCUGCAGAAGAAGCACCGGCUAACUACGUGCCAGCAGCCGCGGUAAUACGUAGGGUGCGAGCGUUAUCCGGAAUUAUUGGGCGUAAAGAGCUCGUAGGCGGUUUGUCGCGUCUGUCGUGAAAGUCCGGGGCUUAACCCCGGAUCUGCGGUGGGUACGGGCAGACUAGAGUGCAGUAGGGGAGACUGGAAUUCCUGGUGUAGCGGUGGAAUGCGCAGAUAUCAGGAGGAACACCGAUGGCGAAGGCAGGUCUCUGGGCUGUAACUGACGCUGAGGAGCGAAAGCAUGGGGAGCGAACAGGAUUAGAUACCCUGGUAGUCCAUGCCGUAAACGUUGGGCACUAGGUGUGGGGACCAUUCCACGGUUUCCGCGCCGCAGCUAACGCAUUAAGUGCCCCGCCUGGGGAGUACGGCCGCAAGGCUAAAACUCAAAGGAAUUGACGGGGGCCCGCACAAGCGGCGGAGCAUGCGGAUUAAUUCGAUGCAACGCGAAGAACCUUACCAAGGCUUGACAUGUUCUCGAUCGCCGUAGAGAUACGGUUUCCCCUUUUGGGGCGGGUUCACAGGUGGGUGCAUGGGUUGUCGGUCAGCUCCGUGUCGUG